UAAGCAUACGCAUAGAGACAGAAGUAGAAUCAUGGUUGCUGGGGAAUAGGAGAGGGAAAUGCAGAGUGACUGCUGAGAGGUACAAGCCUACUUUCUGGGUUAAUGAAAAUGUCCUGGAUUUAGAUCGUGGUGACAGCUGCACAGCUUUCUGAAUAUACCUACACCUGCUAAACUGCAUACUUUUUAAAAGGGAGGCAGAUGGUGAACAGUAAGAAAGGGGAAGCCUGGGCUCUCAGCCCUGUGGAGAUGCAACACGGUUCCUGGAAUGUCUAUUUCUGGACUUCUGUUACAUAAGAGAAUAGUACAUUUUAUCUCGGUUAAGGAACUUGACUGCAGAGAGAACAUAUUGUUGACUACUGUCAGCCCUGCAGAAGUUUACACACAGAAGCCUUGCCUGGUGGUAGAGAGCAGAGCGACCCAGCACUGCCUUCCAGGGCCCCAGGCCCUUGGCCUCCUGAAGCUUCACUGAAAAAUCAACUCACAAAAGGCUGAUUAAGAGGAAAAAAGGUAUACAUAUUUAUCUAAUGUACAUACACAGGAGGCUUCGGAAUGAAGACCCAGCCCUGCUGGGGGUACAGAAGCUUACAUACCAUCGUGAGGUGACAAAAGAAUGGGGGUUUGGAUCCUGACAAAACAGGUGACGGGAGAGGAGAGGAACUCUGCUGAGGGACAAUAUGUGAUUACUAGGGAGAAUGAAGGGAGGGGAACAGACAUUAACCAGUAAUUAGUUCUCUUUAGAUGUCUUAUAAAGGAUUUGUUCAGGUGCAGCCACAUCUGGGUUUGCUUUCCUGCAAUAGAUAAUGAGGUAACAGGAAAGAGAAGAAAAACCAGUUGUUCUCCUUGGUGGGUCUGGACUUUAGGCAGAUAGAAGAACUUCAGAAAACAGCUUUCUCCUAUGCCUGGGGAGAAACUCUGGAGGCUGGGGCAGGUGGGAGGGACCUCGAUGCUGCUUUAGUUCAGCUCGUCAAAAUGCCGUAUCUGGAGUCCUGGUUUCUGAGCCCCAACAGCCUCUAACUGGAUCAGGAAAUGCAUUCAAUUCUGCAGCUAAGUACUAGGAAGUCUACUGGCCUGAAGAUCUAAGCUGCAUUCAUCAGCGCCAAUUACUCAGUAAAAAUCCACCUGAUAUUUUGUCCCAUUCUCUAUUGGCUCAUAAUGCUGGUGAAGAAUAGAAGUAUGAUAUUUUCAUGCCUUCCCCAAGACCUUAAAACGAUCAGAGGAAACAACAGGGAACUAGUGUUUGACCCUGAAUACCACCCAGCAAAAUGGUUGGGACCCUAAUGAUUGUUUUCACCAGGGAAAGAAAAUUGAAUGGCUCAGAGAAUCUUGGCUGUCCAACUUUUUCUGCUGAAGUCUUCUUGUGGUGCUUUUUCUUCAUGAACACCUGAUACGUUUCCCUGGUGAUACACAGCGUCACACUCCAAAACUGCUCUUUUUGUCUCUUGUCAGUUAAUCCUGACAGAAUUCCAUUUUCUCGUCCAUCAAGGUAAACCCUCAAUACACUUAGUUGCUUAGUCAUUGAAGACAAAAGCUACCUGGAUCCUUCUUCUAACAUUCAAGAAUCUGGUGACCAAGUGUGUAGCCUGAGGUCUUCCAUAUUCCCCCCAGGAAGGCUAUCAUCUCUCUUCUAAAGUCUAACUCAAGUUGGCAUUUCCUGAUAUGCCAGAGUUGCCAAGGUGGUAGAUUUCUUAACGCAGAGAAAAAAGAUAAAAGGUAGGGGAGAUAAUGGAAGUUAGCCAGUUUGUUCAUGAUGUUUUGUUUAGUGUAAAGCAACAAAUUAACCUAGUCUUCGAAUCAUGAUUUACAAACGAUAAAAUACAAAUCUAAGGCUGGAUGCAGUGACUCAUAUCUAUAAUCUCAGCACUUUGGAGGCCAAGGCAGGUGGAUGGAUCGAUCAUCUGUGGUCAGGAGUUUGAGACGAGCCUGGCCAACAUGGUGCAACCCAUCUCUACUAAAAACACAAAAAUUAGCAGGCAUGGUGGCAGGCGCCUGUAGUCCCAGCUACUUGGGAGGCUGAGAGGCAAGAGAAUCAAUCGCUUGAACCCAGGAGGCAGAGGUUGUGGAGGUUGCAGUGAGCCAAAAUCUUACCAUUGCACUCCAGCCUGGGCAACAAGAGUGAAACUGUCUCAAAAAAAAAAAAAAUCUAAGUGUACAUUUUGAUGAGUAUUGACAAAUUUAAUUGCAUGCAAAACAAGAUAUAGAAUAUGUCCAUCACCCUUUAUAAUCAAACACAACCCCCAUCCCCACACACAGAGGCCCCUGCAUUCUGAUUUGUUUUUUAAUUUUUCUGUCACAUCAAGCAUGUAUCAUUUGUUUGCUAGAAACAUUCCAAUUCUACUCUUUUUGUUAUUUGAAAAUACACAAUAAAGUAUUGUUGACUACAGCCACCCUUUAGUGCUGUCAGAUACUGGAUCGUAUUUACUCGAUCUAACCAUAUUUUUGCACUCACUAAUCAUCCCCACUUUUACCCCUCCCAGCCUCUGGUAAUCAUCAUUCUACUGUCUAUUUCCAUGAGUUGAAUUGUUUCAGUUUUUACCUCCCACACAUGAAUUAGAACAUGUGAGAUUUGUCUUUCUGUCACCAUAGUUUAGUCUUGCUUGUUCUAGAACUUUAUAGAAAUAAAACAAAAUAUUAUAUACUCCUCUAAGAGAAAAUAGAAUCUUGGGACUCCAAAUUUACUAUGCCAAAGGGAAAGUUAAACUUGGAAACAGAGUCAAGCAAAAACUGCCUUCCUUUUGUUCCCAAACAGAAAGCUGUAAUUUCGCAACCGUAGUCACAGCCUCACAUGUAUAAACCAGGUUCUCACAAUACAAGGCUGCGUAUCUUUCUAGACGGUUUUCCUGACAAAUUGCUCACAAGGAAAUUUCCUGUGGGCCCCCAAAUCUUUCAAAAUACAUACCCCCCAUAUAAACUAGUCCUGAAACAAGUUCUGUUCAAUUUCACCUUGAUUUCAAUUUACCAGCUUAUCUUCACAGAUAUGGAACAAGGACCAGAGUGGAGAUUAUCCCUCUGCCGCCCCCAGAUGAGUGCACAAACAAUCUUUUCCUCUACUCAGCUUUUCACAUGUUUACUUUAUCUCACGUAAAAUGUAGAUUUACAGAGCAGGAGAUGAAUGCAUAAUUGACUUUUUCCUCUAUUCCCUCUUUUCACAAGUAAAAUGUAGAUGUACUGAUUGCUAAUCAAAGCCUCUCAAAACUGUAACCGCUUGCCUCAUUGCCUACUGAUUAAGUUUGGAUGUUUGUCCCCUCCAACUAUCAUGCUGAAAUGUGAUCCUCAGUGUUGGAAGUGAGAACGGAUGGGAGGUGUGUGGGUCACGGGGACAGAUUCCUCAUGAAUGGCUUGGUGCCCCCUCCCCAAGGCAGUGAGGGAGUGCUCACUUUAUUAGUUACCAUGAGAUUGGAUUGUUAAAAUAUCUAGUGUCUUUCUCACUGCCUCUCUCAUCAUGUGACAUACCUGCUCUCUCUUUAGCUGCCAUGAGUAAAAGCUUCCUGAGGCCUCAGCAGAAGCAGCUACAAGUGUCAAGCUUGUAUAGCCUGCAGGACCAUGAGCCAGACAAACCUCUUUUCCUUAUAAAUUACCCUAUGAGUAUGCAAAGACAUACGGAGGAAUAUGAUGGACUUUAGAGACUCAGAAAGGGGAGAAUGGGAGGGGAGGUAGGUAUAAAAUUCUACGUUAGGUACUUAUUAGCUACUCAGGUGACAGGUGCACUAAAAUCUCAGAAUUCUCCACUAUGUAAUUCAUCCAUGUGACACAAAAACCACUUGUGCCCCAAGAGCUAUUGAAAUAAAAAUAAAUAAAUGAGAUGAGUGGAGCUUUUUAAAGAAUAGUCUAUAUUUCCAGGGGAGAAUAUUAUAUAUUGUUAGUGUGAAGCAGCAUUCACCAUCAGUCCUAUUCCAAGUUUUAAUGCGUCUUAUGCAAACACUCAGAAACACAGUUAUAAGUAGAUGGGAAUAGAAGGAGCUUUCUAAAACACACCAAUAUCAGUCUUUUUAAAAAACAGGUCCUUCUUCUGAUUUGAAUGUCAGAAAUAACAAAGUGAUCAAACUUUUUAUUUAUUCUUUUAAUAAUUUGCUGUCAUGUUAAUUCAUUGCACCUAUGAUUUUCUUUUAAACUAAGUACAAGAAAUCACCAGACUUGUCAGAGCACUUAACUCUAGUCUGUGGAGUCAUUCACUUUCUUAUUCUUUGGUACUAUCCCAAAUAGGUCUUACCUUGCCUUAUCAGUUGACUACAAUGAAACGUGAUAUUCUUUUACCUAGAGACACUUAUUGUGGCUCCCAACAUAUUGAACUUACUGUAUACAGAAAGUUUGAGAAAGUUGAAACUUUGUUCAUCUCAAAACAUCACUGUAAUAUUUACGAAGUAGUUUUUAAAUAUUGUCUUUAAAACACUGGCGUUUCAGAUUGACCUAACUGGAAUUGUGGGAAAUAUUUACUAUAUAUUCUAAUUGCCAAAUCCAAUCCCCACGAUCAAUUAAUAAGCAAAAGCCAGAACAAUUUUUGUCAGAAAAAUAUUUCUUCGUUUUUCAAUUCAAAUAAACAUUAUUGAUAUGUACUCCUGUAACCGGGUGACAGGAGCAGGUCUGCGGGGAUGUCCCAAAGACAAUCACUGUUCCCCAUUGGGGAUGUGUUUUCCCAGGUCCUUGGGCCUCACUCACCCAAGAAUGGGGAGAGGGCCCUGGUGGCGCAGUGAGCUCAUUGAAGUAAGUAUCAGACCCGGAGUUUUGCAGAAAGCUAUGGAUUAGCAGAGAGAGAGAGAGAGAGAAGGAGAAAUAGAGAGCGAGAGGGAGCUCCCACGCUGUCGUGGGAGGGGAUCCAGAGAUGGAGUCGGCACAGGUAAAGAGAGAGCGAGAGAGAAGGCUCCCACGCUGCCGUGGGAGGGGAUCCCAAAGAGGGAAAUAGGUAAGGGAGUAGGGGGAAUUUAACCCCGGAGUUACUCCGGCCCCAUUCAGGUUCUUGUCCAGUGAGAGGAGCUUUUCCAGACUUCCUCUGGAGUGACUGAUAUUCAACUCUGAUAUUGGAUUGGUUGCCGGAUUUGCAAUCAAAGCCUCCUCCCUCAGAGCUUUUGACCGGCGUUUUAAACAAAGGAAGCUCACCUGGGCUUUCUCCCCAGCCCACACUCAGAGGGAAAAUUAGACCAAGAACUCUAAGUCCCCCCAAGGGGAGGUGGAUGGAGGCAUGGCGGUGGGAAGUUCUUGCCUUUGAAACCACGCCUGUUGUGGACCCGGGAGGAGAAGUUAACAUGGUCCCUCACUCCUUUGAUAACCAUCUUAUUUCUAAAUGAUAAUUCUAAGAUAAUAGGUAAAUAAAUAGAUUUAGAUGAAGACACACACCUUUUUUGCCAUAAAAGUGACACACUCUUGCCUUCAAUGUUCCUUAUAGAUAUUUUCGUUGCUUUGCCCUCAAAGACUCAUCCUCAAUAGCAAUGCAUUCUUUGACAACGACAAAAGGGAUAACAUGUAAAGACACAUGCAAAUAAAAGUUGUUAAAAUUCCGCUAUUUCGUUCAACAAUAUAGCUGUACUCUAAGCAUUGACAAUAUUUUAAGCCUGAACCCUUCAUUUCUAAUACCAUGAUUCGCUCUUAACAGAAAGACGCAUAAUGUGUGGAAAGUCUAGAAGCCCAACCAGGAUGAUUCAGCCUCGAAUAUAGAGGGCUAGCAAGGCUGUAAUGCCAUUAUUUUGACCUAUCUCUUUUUUUCCUGGAGGUUUUUAUAUCCCAUGGGCAAUGCAACCCUGUAAAAUUCAGGGUGGUGAUAGGCAUGCAGGUCCUUUGUAAGGUGGGAAGAAGGCCACUUAAAAAGUGGGGAUGGUAAAGGAAAAUUGGCAUUAUGCCUACGCCUCAGAUCCUUUUGUAGGUAGACCACUUUUAGAACACACUACAUCCAUGGAAGUUGAAAAACUGGAAAAUGGCUUUCAAGAUUUCCUUGGAAAGUCUUCAUGUGACCCACAGCUAUGCCUGCCAAUGGUUGAAAUUUUUGGCCCUCUCGGUAUCUUUCCUUCUCAUUGUUAUUAACAGAAUUCCUGUUUUCUUUGGGGCAUUGUGCACAGCUAAAAUUUUCACCUUGCAAGACUGGCUUGCAUUAUGACGCAGUUAUUGCUGAUGAAAUCUAAACUGAGUUGCUGGGGUUGGGGUGGAGGGCCUGUCUUUUAAAGCAAUCGUUUUUCUGAUAAAAUGGAACCAAUUCAGUUGGCCUAUCCCCUGGUCUUUCACUUUCCCUCGUUUGUCUCCUUGGAAGGCAAACGCAAUCUCUGCAGGUGUAGCAGUCAACUUAACGACCAGCGAAACAAGAGCCACAUGUUCAUGAUGGAAGAAUAGAUCAAUCCAAGGAGACUAGGUCUUUGUUGAUCACCUUGGAAGCCUGCACCAGCCUCCAGCUGGUACAUCCAGAGUUUUAAUGCAUGAGAAAAACAGGCCUCAUUGUUUAAGCCUUUGCUGUCAGAGUCGUAUUUAUUGGCUCCAAAUCCUAACUGAAACAAGGGAUGCUUUUCUUACCCAUGCCUUGAGGAAUACAUGAUUUAUUUUUCUGGCCUGAAAGAUCUUGCUAAAUGCUGCAGGGAAUGCUAAUGAGCUGCUAUACAAUCAUAUUUACCAUUAUUCUAGAUAAUAGUUUCUCUAAUAUAGAUAAGACAAAUUUAUAAAAUAAAUGUUCUGAACAUCAACUGAAAUCUUAUAAGGUUUUUGUAGGCAUCACAUUCUUAUCACUUUUGUUCUUGGAAACAGCAGGCAGUCAGUAAAUAAUUUCCCAACGACUGACUCUAAGGAGUAAAAAGGCCAACUUGAACAUUAUUUUUUUACUUAAUAAUAAGUACUAUAAUUAAUGUUUGAGAAUAACUUGGGAAAAACUAUGAAUUCUACUGUUUAUAGAGUGGUUAUAAAUCACAAUAUGUGGGGGACUGGAAAUAAGAUACAAUAUAAUUUAAUAUUUGAGUAAUGAGGGAAACAUCACCUGAAAUGAGAGUGAUGAUUUGUAACUUGCAACCUAAUACAUUUGUGAAAAUUUAUCAGUGAAUUUCGUCUAGUGCUAUCCAAGAUGAUAGAUGGCCUGAAAAUCUGAAAUGAAUCACAAUUAUUAUUCAUUGAGGAAACAGCUAAAUGUAUCAGGAGAAAUCUCAAAAAAUGGCCUGAAAAUAACAUUCUCAGAUAUUCAAUGAUAAUAAUUUCCCCAAGUGUUUUAUAUGAAUUAUGUCAUAUAAUUCUUUCCAUAACCCUAAAUAUGGGUCAUAUUGUUUCCACUUUAUAAAUAAGGAACUAAGACAUGGAUGAAGUAAGCAAACUGCCCACGUUCACACAGGUAAUAAAGGAUACAGCAGGAUUAAAACCAAAGCCGUCGGCUGUACCCGUGGUCUGGAAGUUACCUCUUAUGCCUAGCGAGGGCGAUUAUCCACACUGGAUAAUUAAACGACUGGGUAAAAAAAGUAUUAUCCACACUGGAUAAAAAAUAACGACCUGAGUCCUUUGGAGAGCAAAUAAAAUCAGGCAGUUUCUGAAGAGAAGCCAACAGUUGUAAGACGGAAAUUACAUGGGGUUAGUUUCUCAUUUUGAAAUGACUUUUAGCAUACUGUCAGGCUACAGCUGGUGAUACACAGGGCAACUAAAACCCAGAUAAAAACCCGCAGUCUUUGUGGCUUGAGAAACCAGGAAGAGUUCAGGACAAUCGUAUCUACUAUAUACUGAGAAGAAAACUCUGGAGAGCAAAGGGCCGAGAGGGCGACACCAAGUAUAGGAAAUUUGUCUAAGCCUCUGGUUGACCCCUGAAUCCGCAUGAAAGUGGCAGGCUUCCAGCUCCUCAGUUCAGGAUGAAAGGGUUGAACUAAGAGUUGAGCUGCUACCUCAUUUGCAGCUUGAGUCCAAAGUAGUUAGCUGCCUAUUCAAACAACAGCAAUGACAACAACAUUCUUUAAAGAAACCUAACAGAACACAGGUCUUCACAACACAGCUUUCAUACAUCUAGGACACAAUUGAAAAGUACUCCACUGCACAGUGGCUCCCACCUAUAACCUCAACACUUUGGGAGGCCAAAGCAGGAGGAUCACUUAAGACCAGAAGUUAAAGACCAGCCUGGUCAACAUAAGGAGAGCCUGUCUCUACAAAAACUAAGGAAAAAAUUAGCCAAGUGUGGUGGUACACACCUGUAGUCACAGCUAUUUGGGAGACUGAGGUGGUAGGAUCACUCAAACCCAGGAAUUUGAGCCUGUGGUGAGCCAUAAUUGGGCCACUCUACUCCAGCCUCAGCAGCAAAGCAAGACCCCAUCUCUUAAUUAAAAAAAAAGAAAAAGCACUCCAUAUAAAAGUUUAAAUAAACUGGAAGCUGACACUGCUGUCUCAUCAUUAAAAGUUCGUAUUAUCUCCAUAUGACUAAGAGAAUCAGAAAAAUAAAUGUUACUUGUUUGAUGGGAUGUUGGCCUUUGACUACGGGGGGCAUGUUUUGGUAAGAAGAAUCAAGACUUCUAUUUGAUCGAUCUAUUAUGAUGCCGAACAGAGUUGUUUGGGCGAUAACAGGUUAUACAGUCAAGAGAUGCAGGAGAGGUUGAAGCUGGGGUAGAAAUUUGAGAUUCAACAACUACUAUGCUUGAUUUUUUCCAUAAACAAAGGAAACUAAAAUAAAAAUUAAAAACUAAAUUAUCCACACUGAAUACUUUCCUUACUGACCUAUGUAAAAGCAUGCUAUGAUUGUGUUUUUACCUAGGCUACGUACAGAUAAUUUUCCUUUUUGCUGAAAAUUUUGAUAAUGAAAGAUUUAAAAACAAUGGGGCAAUCCAGAUAAAAUGUUUCAACGUGGCAAGAUAAACUUAGGGCUUGGUAUAAUGGGGGGAAGAAUCUCUACAUGUCCUCGGUUCCAUUUGUUUUCUUUUGGUAAGCAGUAUAUAGAAACAAUCCCAGAAACAUAAUUAUUCUCUUGAUUUAAAGAGAGAAUGUUUCUUUUCAUGACUUUUUAAUAAAAUGUGAGAUUACACAAAAAUUGAGACAUUCAUAAAUUUCUUUAACAGAACAAAAAUAAUAUGAUAUAUAUAGUAAUUAUAUAUAUAUUUUUUGAGACAGUGUCUCAGGCUGCCCUCAGGCUGAAGUGCAGUGACGCAAUCUCAGCCCACUGCAGCCUCUGCCUCCUAAGUUCAAGCAAUUCUCCUGCCUUGGGACCCUGAGGUCCCAAGCAGCUGGGAUUACAGGUGCUCGCUACCAUGCUCAGCCAAUUUUUUGUA